rnacentral:rRNA from 1 species
UUAUCCGGAUUUAUUGGGUUUAAAGGGAGCGUAGGCGGGUGCUUAAGUCAGUUGUGAAAGUUUGCGGCUCAACCGUAAAAUUGCAGUUGAUACUGGGUACCUUGAGUGCAGCAUAGGUAGGCGGAAUUCGUGGUGUAGCGGUGAAAUGCUUAGAUAUCGCGAAGAACUCCGAUUGCGAAGGCAGCUUACUGGACUGUAACUGACGCUGAUGCUCGAAAGUGUGGGUAUCAAACAGGAUUAGAUACCCUGGUAGUCCACACAGUAAACGAUGAAUACUCGCUGUUGGCGAUACACAGUCAGCGGCCAAGCGAAAGCAUUAAGUAUUCCACCUGGGGAGUACGCCGGCAACGGUGAAACUCAA